AGCGAACGCUGGCGGCAGGCCUAACACAUGCAAGUCGAACGAACCUUUCGGGGUUAGUGGCGGACGGGUGAUUAACACGUGGGAACGUGCCUUUAGGUUCGGAAUAACUCAGGGAAACUUGUGCUAAUACCGAAUGUGCCCUUCGGGGGAAAGAUUUAUCGCCUUUAGAGCGGCCCGCGUCUGAUUAGCUAGUUGGUUGAGGUAAUGGCUCACCAAGGCGACGAUCAGUAGGUGGUCUGAGAGGAUGAUCAGCCACAUUGGGACUGAGACACGGCCCAAACUCCUACGGGAAGCAGCAGUGGGGAAUCUUGCGCAAUGGGCGAAAGCCUGACGCAGCCAUGCCGCGUGAAUGAUGAAGGUCUUAGGAUUGUAAAAUUCUUUCACCGGGGACGAUAAUGACGGUACCCGGAGAAGAAGCCCCGGCUAACUUCGUG
rnacentral:rRNA from 1 species